GGGAAAAACAAGAUCCCUCCCUGGUGGUUGCCUUUAUUUGUAAGCUUCGAUCAAGGAUGGGGUCUAUCUUACCGGCCCAGGCCAGAGAGCUCGGGCUGCCUGUAGGCAAGGCAGCUAUCAGACCUCUCGUCCGUGUUCUGGAAAACGGGGGGAGCAUCGUGUACGAAGGAAAAGAGAUCCGACCCGAGCAGGUCUGCGGCCCCUCAGUUCCAGGACCGGUUUUUAUCAUCAUCGAGUGCCCAUCUGAGGAGUUUGUU